UACGUAGGGUGCGAGCGUUAAUCGGAAUUACUGGGCGUAAAGCGUGCGCAGGCGGUUUUGUAAGCCAGAUGUGAAAUCCCCGGGCUUAACCUGGGAAUGGCAUUUGGGACUGCAAGGCUUGAGUGCGGCAGAGGAGACUGGAAUUCCUGGUGUAGCAGUGAAAUGCGUAGAUAUCAGGAGGAACACCGAUGGCGAAGGCAGGUCUCUGGGCUGACACUGACACUGAGGAGCGAAAGCGUGGGGAGCGAACAGG
rnacentral:rRNA from 1 species